AUCUCCAACCCCGGCGCAUCCCAGCCCCGGCGCCCCACCCCGGCGCAUCCCAGCCCCAGCGCCCCCCUUCCCGGCGACCCCAGCCCCGGCGCGCCUCAGCCCCGGCGCCCCCAGCCCCGGCGACCCUAGCCCCGGCGCGCCUCAGCCCCGGUGACUCCCAUCUCCGGCCUCCUCCCUCCGUCGCCGCCGCGCCUCUCGCCACCUCCCUCCGCCACCAACCCAGAUCCCUCCGAGCACCGUGCGCCAUCUCCUGCGAUUCCCGCCACCGCCUGUUUCUAGCGCGGCUCUCCGCCUCCCAGCGACGACGAGGAAGAUGACGGGGGAGCUGCCCGUCUUAACGCAUGGCGCCCCUGGUCCUUGGAUCCCCGCUCCCCUCCGGCGACCCUACUCGCUCGCCCGGCGCUCGCUCCGGUGACCAGCCGCGCGUCACACGAUAGAUCCCCAAGCUCCUUCACAUUCAGCGCCGCCGCCACGCAACCUCAUCUCCGUUUUCUCUUCAUUACGACCUGUAGCCUGUAGGAGUUUCUUCAGCUGCGGUUCAACAAGAAAACCAGCGGCAGUCCAUGCACCCGUUCUAUCUCUUUCCUCUCUAAUGCUCUUUAUCUUACUAAUUUGUUUUCUAUUGGAACUGCAGCCCGAGGGAGGUUGGACGGACAGCAUAUUGGCGAUGUUGACAUCAGUUUGUUUAUAUUGAACUGAUGAUCGUGUAUUAGUACUACUGAAGUCAAGCAAUGAGUUCAAUGGAUUCCAAAAAGGAAAAAAUUAUGGAUGGGUGAUGAAUCAACUUCCUGUACUGUUGUGCCAUUAGCAUUGGACGACCCCGACCACUGGCACCACUGCUUCCCUACCUCCUGCUUGCAUCGCCAUCUCCCGGUGGGGCUCUGCCGCCGGAGCACCCUGGCCGUUCACAGCCACCACUCUAGGCCGUUCAACGCCAUCACCCCAGGCCUUUCAUUGCCAGCAGCACCCUGGAUCCCACCCCUCACCCUAGGAGUUUCAGUUAUCGACAAGUCCAUGUAGUACUACAUGCGAAGUACAAAAAUUACUGCUAGUGAGAGUUCAUUUAAAUCCUGGAAGUUCAACGCUGCAACUACAGGCC